GACGUAGGGUCCAAGCGUUGUCCGGAUUUACUGGGCGUAAAGAGCGCGUAGGCGGCUCGUUAAGUGUGAAGUGAAAUCUCCAGGGCUCAACCCGGAAACUGCUUUACAUACUGGCGAGCUGGAGUGAUGCAGAGGUUUGUGGAAUUCCUGGUGUAACGGUGAAAUGUGUUGAUAUCAGGAGGAACACCCAUGGCGAAGGCAGCAAACUGGGCAUCAACUGACGCUGAGGUGCGAAAGCGUGGGUAGCAAACAGG
rnacentral:rRNA from 1 species